UUCCUUAUACUAUUGGGGUAUUAAAAAGUGCUUUACAUACUGUAUUCUCUGUGUUUACACAAAUUGUUGAUUAUUUAAUAUUUUAACCAUAGGAAAUAGAAGACCCCAAUGAUCUGGCAGACGCAAUAAAUAGCAGCCUAAUAGAACUAUCAGCUCAACUUCUCAAUCUGUGGGGAAAAUUUCUUCAAUCCUCUUUGGAGAUUGAACAAGAGAAGAAGCAAAUAAAGGAAGAAAAGUUCAAGAAAUUAUUCUUUUCUACUGACCAUCCCCAACAAGAAGCUAUUUUAUAUGAUGAGAAGAUAACCGAAAGCCACAAAGAGAUUUAUGAAAAAGUCAAAAAAGCUCCAAAAGAUGAUUGUCUCGAGUGCCGGGACACGGACAUGGUAUCAAAAUCUGCCCCCGUUGUCUUUGAAGACCGGUACUUAGAGCCUGAAGCAAUAGGUACGUAUGGAAAGAAUCCACAGGUGCUGCUGCCUCAGUGUG